rnacentral:rRNA from 1 species
UGGGGAAUUUUGCACAAUGGGGGAAACCCUGACGCAGCGACGCCGCGUGAUUUAGAAGGCCUUCGGGUUGUAAAAAUCUUUUUUACGGGAUGAAAAUGACAGUACCGUAAGAAUAAGGUCCGGCUAAAUACGUGCCAGCAGCCGCGGUAAUACGUAUGGACCGAGCGUUGUCCGGAAUCAUUGGGCGUAAAGGGUACGUAGGCGGCCUAGUAAGUUAGAAGUUAAAUAAUAUAGCUCAACUAUAUAAAGCUUUUAAAACUGCUAGGCUUGAGAGAUGGAAGGGAAAGUGGAAUUCCUAGUGUAGCGGUGAAAUGCGCAGAUAUUAGGAAGAAUACCGGUGGCGAAGGCGACUUUCUGGUCAUCAUCUGACGCUGAGGUACGAAAGCGUGGGUAGCAAACAGG